UACGUAGGGUGCAGGCGUUAAUCGGAAUUACUGGGCGUAAAGCGUGCGCAGGCGGUUUCUUAAGUCAGAUGUGAAAGCCCCGGGCUUAACCUGGGAACUGCGUUUGAAACUGGGAGACUUGAGUGUGGCAGAGGGGGGUGGAAUUCCACGUGUAGCAGUGAAAUGCGUAGAUAUCGUGAGGAACACCAGAGGCGAAGGCGGUUACCUGGACAGUUACUGACGCUCAGGCACGAAAGCGUGGGGAGCAAACAGG
rnacentral:rRNA from 1 species